GACGAACGCUGGCGGCGUGCUUAACACAUGCAAGUCGAGCGGAAAGGCCCUUCGGGGUACUCGAGCGGGGAACGGGUGAGUAACACGUGAGUAACCUGACCCAGACUUUGGGAUAACUCUCGGAAAAGGGGGCUAAUACCGGUUAGGACACAGAUUCGCAUGGGGUUUGUGUGGCAAGUUUUUCGGAUUGGGUUGGGCCCGCGGCCGAUGAGCUCGUUGGUGUGGUGAUGGGUUACCAAGGCGAUGACGGGUAGCCGGGCUGAGAGGGACACCCGACACACUGGGACUGAAACACGGCACAGUCUCCUACUGGAGGCAGCAGUGGGGAAUAGUGCACAAUGGGCGGAAUCCGGAUGCAGCGACGCCGCGUGAGGGAUGACGUCCUUCGGGUUGUAAACCUCUUUCACCAGGGACGAAGCGUAAGUGACGGUACCUGCAGAAGAAGCGCCGGCUAACUACGUG
rnacentral:rRNA from 1 species